GAUGAACGCUGGCGGCGUGCUUAACACAUGCCAGUCGAACGGAAAGGCCCAAGCUUGCUUGGGUACUCGAGUGGCGAACGGGUGAGUAACACGUGGGUGAUCUGCCCUGCACUUCGGGAUAAGCCUGGGAAACUGGGUCUAAUACCGGAUAGGACGAUGGUUUGGAUGCCAUUGUGGAAAGUUUUUCGGUGUGGGAUGAGCUCGCGGCCUAUCAGCUUGUUGGUGGGGUAAUGGCCUACCAAGGCGUCGACGGGUAGCCGGCCUGAGAGGGUGUACGGCCACAUUGGGACUGAGAUACGGCCCAGACUCCUACGGGAGGCAGCAGUGGGGAAUAUUGCACAAUGGGCGCAAGCCUGAUGCAGCGACGCCGCGUGGGGGAUGACGGCCUUCGGGUUGUAAACUCCUUUCGCUAGGGACGAAGCGCAAGUGACGGUACCUGGAGAAGAAGCACCGGCUAACUACGUG
rnacentral:rRNA from 1 species